AGAGUUUGAUCAUGGCUCAGGAUGAACGCUAGCGGCAGGCUUAACACAUGCAAGUCGAGGGGUAUAGUAGCAAUACUAGAGACCGGCGCACGGGUGCGUAACGCGUAUGCAAUCUACCUUUUGCAGAGGGAUAGCCCAGAGAAAUUUGGAUUAAUACCUCAUAGUAUUAUAGUAUGGCAUCAUAUUAUAAUUAAAGUCACAACGGCAAAAGAUGAGCAUGCGUCCCAUUAGUUAGUUGGUAAGGUAACGGCUUACCAAGACUACGAUGGGUAGGGGUCCUGAGAGGGAGAUCCCCCACACUGGUACUGAGACACGGACCAGACUCCUACGGGAGGCAGCAGUGAGGAAUAUUGGACAAUGGGCGCAAGCCUGAUCCAGCCAUGCCGCGUGCAGGAUGACGGUCCUAUGGAUUGUAAACUGCUUUUGCACAGGAAGAAACAACGCUACGUGUAGCGUCUUGACGGUACUGUGAGAAUAAGGAUCGGCUAACUCCGUGCCAGCAGCCGCGGUAAUACGGAGGAUCCAAGCGUUAUCCGGAAUCAUUGGGUUUAAAGGGUCCGUAGGCGGUUUAGUAAGUCAGUGGUGAAAGCCCAUCGCUCAACGGUGGAACGGCCAUUGAUACUGCUAGACUUGAAUUAUUAGGAAGUAACUAGAAUAUGUAGUGUAGCGGUGAAAUGCUUAGAGAUUACAUGGAAUACCAAUUGCGAAGGCAGGUUACUACUAAUGGAUUGACGCUGGUGGACGAAAGCGUGGGUAGCGAACAGGAUUAGAUACCCUGGUAGUCCACGCCGUAAACGAUGGAUACUAGCUGUUGGGAGCAAUCUCAGUGGCUAAGCGAAAGUGAUAAGUAUCCCACCUGGGGAGUACGUUCGCAAGAAUGAAACUCAAAGGAAUUGACGG
rnacentral:rRNA from 1 species